rnacentral:rRNA from 1 species
AUUGAACGCUGGCGGCAGGCUUAACACAUGCAAGUCGAACGAGUGGCGGACGGGUGAGUAAUGUCUGGGCAACUGCCUGAUGGAGGGGGAUAACUACUGGAAACGGUAGCUAAUACCGCAUACCAUCAGAUGUGCCCAGAUGGGUUUGGCUAGUUGGUGGGGUAACGGCUCACCAAGGCGACGAGCCCUAGCUGGUAUGAGAGGAAGACCGGCCACCCUGGAACGGAGACACGGUCCAGAGUCCUACGGGAGGCAGCAGUGGGGAAUAUUGCACAAUGGGCGCAAGCCUGAUGCAGCCAUGCCGCGUGUAUGAAGAAGGCCUUCGGGUUGUAAAGUACUUUCAGCGGGGAGGCGUUACCCGCAGAAGAAGCACCGGCUAACUCCGUGCCAGCAGCCGCGGUAAUUC